rnacentral:rRNA from 1 species
UGGGGAAUUUUGGACAAUGGGCGAAAGCCUGAUCCAGCAAUGCCGCGUGUGUGAAGAAGGCCUUCGGGUUGUAAAGCACUUUUGUCCGGAAAGAAAUCCUUGGCUCUAAUACAGUCGGGGGAUGACGGUACCGGAAGAAUAAGCACCGGCUAACUACGUGCCAGCAGCCGCGGUAAUACGUAGGGUGCAAGCGUUAAUCGGAAUUACUGGGCGUAAAGCGCGCGCAGGCGGUUUGCUAAGACCGAUGUGAAAUCCCCGGGCUCAACCUGGGAACUGCAUUGGUGACUGGCAGGCUAGAGUAUGGCAGAGGGGGGUUAGAAUUCCACGUGUAGCAGUGAAAUGCGUAGAGAUGUGGAGGAAUACCGAUGGCGAAGGCAGCCCCCUGGGCCAAUACUGACGCUCAUGCACGAAAGCGUGGGGAGCAAACAGGAUUAGAUACCCUGGUAGUCCACGCCCUAAACGAUGUCAACUAGUUGUUGGGGAUUCAUUUCCUUAGUAACGUAGCUAACGCGUGAAGUUGACCGCCUGGGGAGUACGGUCGCAAGAUUAAAACUUAAAUGAAUUGACGGGGUC